AUGAAGCUCACAGCUGUGGCGAGGUUGAAGUUGUUGGCUUGUUCUUUUACAGUAACUCCCUUACUCUCUGGUCUCAUUAGGACUAUGUCUUACACACUGAAAUGGGGUUUCAUCAGCACCCUCCCUUCCUCCUCUCCUCUCCUCUCCUCUCCUCUCCUCUCCUCUCCUCUCCUCUCAUACUCUCCUCUCCUCUACUCUCCUCCUCUACUCUACUCUCCUACUCUCCUCUCAUACUCUCCUCUCCUCUACUCUCCUCCUCUACUCUACUCUCCUACUCUACUCUCCUCUCCUACUCUCCUCUACUCUACUCUCCUCUACUCUCAUACUCUCCUCUCCUCUACUCUCCUCCUCUACUCUACUCUCCUACUCUACUCUCCUCUCCUACUCUCCUCUACUCUACUCUCCUCUACUCUCAUACUCUACUCUCCUCUACUCUCAUACUCUACUCUCCUCUCCUCUCCUACUCUCCUCUACUCUACUCUACUCUCCUACUCUACUCUCCUCUCCUCUAAUCUCCUCUACUCUACUCUCCUCUACUACUCUACUCUCCUCUCCUCUCCUCUACUCUACUCUACUCUACUCUACUCUCCUCUACUCCCCUCUACUCUCCUCUCCUACUCUACUCUCCUACUCUACUCUCCUACUCUACUCUCCUCUAAUCUCCUCUCCUCUCCUCUCCUCUACUCUACUCUACUCUCCUCUACUCCCCUCUACUCUCCUCUCCUACUCUCCUACUCUACUCUCCUCUCCUCUCCUCUCCUCUACUCUCCUACUCUACUCUCCUCUCCUCUACUCUACUCUCCUCUACUCUCCUACUCUAGUCUCCUACUCUACUCUCCUACUCUACUCUCCUCUACUCUACUCUCCUACUCUACUCUCCUACUCUACUCUCCUACUCAACUUUCCUCUCCUCUACUCUCAUACUCUCCUCUACUCUACUCUCCUCUACUCUACUCUCCUACUCUACUCUACUCUCCUCUACUACUCUCCUCUACUCUACUCUACUCUCCUCUCCUACACUACUCUACUCUCCUACUCUACUCUCCUCUACUCUCCUACUCUACUCUACUCUCCUCUACUCUACUCCCCUCUACUCUACUCUACUCUCCUACUCUACUCUCCUCUACUCUCCUCUACUCCCCUCUACUCUCCCCUCUACUCUCCUCUACUCUCCUCUACUCUACUCUCCUCUCCUCUCCUCUACUACUCUCCUCUCCUCUACUACUCUACUCUACUCUCCUCUACUCUACUCCCCUCUACUCUACUCUCCUACUCUACUCUCCUCUACUCUCCUCUACUCCCCUCUACUCUCCCCUCUACUCUCCUCUCCUACUCUCCUCUACUCUCCUACUCUACUCUCCUCUACUCUACUCUCCUCUACUCUCCUCUACUACUCUCCUCUACUCUACUCUCCUCUACUCUCCUACUCUACUCUAA
rnacentral:lncRNA from 8 species